AUUGAACGCUGGCGGCAGGCCUAACACAUGCAAGUCGAGCGGCAGCGGGAAAGUAGCUUGCUACUUUUGCCGGCGAGCGGCGGACGGGUGAGUAAUGCCUGGGGAUCUGCCCAGUCGAGGGGGAUAACUACUGGAAACGGUAGCUAAUACCGCAUACGACCUACGGGGGAAAGCAGGGGACCUCCGGGCCUUGCGCGACUGGAUGAACCCAGGUGGGAUUAGCUAGUUGGUGAGGUAAUGGCUCACCAAGGCGACGAUCCCUAGCUGGUCUGAGAGGAUGAUCAGCCACACUGGAACUGAGACACGGUCCAGACUCCUACGGGAGGCAGCAGUGGGGAAUAUUGCACAAUGGGGGAAACCCUGAUGCAGCCAUGCCGCGUGUGUGAAGAAGGCCUUCGGGUUGUAAAGCACUUUCAGCGAGGAGGAAAGGUUGGUAGCUAAUAACUGCCAGCUGUGACGUUACUCGCAGAAGAAGCACCGGCUAACUCCGUGCCAGCAGCCGCCGUAAGAC
rnacentral:rRNA from 1 species